ACAUCUAUUUGAGGGCCCAAAAAAAUUAGAUCAAGCUGAUUAGUUGGCAAACAAAUCUCCUUAUUUUCUUGUUAUUUCCUUCUGUAGCGUAGAAUAAUUAGAAAGAGGAGAGGAGACGUAUGCCUUCCUUUUUGGAAAGUCCAAGGGGUGCAAACCCAUUGGAGUAGGUGUAAUAAGAGAGAGGGGCCCACCCCUUCUUUUGCUUUGGUGUGGAAG
rnacentral:lncRNA from 1 species